CACAAGUGCUGUAACACUUGCUCGUUUAUUAUUAAAAAACAAUCUUAAAACUCAGAAGAUGAAGAAUGAAUUACUUCUUGGAGCGUCUGCAUACGGGUUAAAAAGAAAUUCGCACAUUUACUGAAUUCCUGUUUUUCAGAUGUCCGAGGUCAAGAAAAGGUUAAAGUUGUUCACUGCUUUCAAGCUCUGGCCUUAGAAGUUAAUUCAGUGCUGUGCUGCGAGAGCUACAGAGUAAAUCCUUGGAACAGUGAAUUGCUGGUUUGAUAUCAAGCUCACGUCAACAUUUCUAUCAGAAAGAAUCACCAUAAUCACCAGAUAUAUUAGCAGAAACUGCUCCUUCCCAUUGACCACAUACGCCAAAAUCCUUGGAAACUCUUAAGCCGUGGACUUCCCCUGAAGACAUACAGAGAAAAUGGCUCAAGCGAACACUCCUCCAUUCCUUCAGUGGAGCCCAGGUCAGCUGUGACAAGCAUCUGCUCUGUGGGUAGGUGCAAAAUACACGACAAAGAUAUCGGCCGUGGAUCCCUUCUGUAAACGAUGACCUCAUCCGGAGGUUAUGGGACCUUCACGAGGAUACCAGUCGUACUCCUCCAUGGCGAUGUGUUACAGUGAGUAACUCGCUUCCUGGAUGCACUUGUAACAGGCAGAUAUCCUAACAACACAGGAUACGCAGACAUGUCCAGGUCUUUA
rnacentral:lncRNA from 1 species